rnacentral:rRNA from 1 species
UGGGGAAUAUUGCACAAUGGGCGGAAGCCUGAUGCAGCGACGCCGCGUGGGGGAUGAAUGCCUUCGGGUUGUAAACUCCUUUCGACAGGGACGAAGCUUUUGUGACGGUACCUGUAUAAGAAGCACCGGCUAACUACGUGCCAGCAGCCGCGGUAAUACGUAGGGUGCGAGCGUUGUCCGGAAUUACUGGACGUAAAGAGCUCGUAGGUGGUUUGUCGCGUCGUCUGUGAAAUUCCGGGGCUUAACUCCGGGCGUGCAGGCGAUACGGGCUGACUUGAGUGCUGUAGGGGAGACUGGAAUUCCUGGUGUAGCGGUGAAAUGCGCAAAUAUCAGGAGGAACACCGAUGGCGAAGGCAGGUCUCUGAGCAGUAACUGACGCUGAGGAGCGAAAGCAUGGGUAGCGAACAGG